UAGCUAGAUAGUGAAGCUAAAAUCAGGCCUGUAAGGAGAGGGAAGUAGCUAGGUGGUGUAGAUAAUAUCAGGGCCAUAAGGAGAGGGCAGUAGCUAGGUGGUGUAGAUAAUAUCAGGCCAGUAAGGAGAGGGGAGUAGCUAGGUGGUGUAGAUAAUAUCAGGCCAGUAAGGAGAGGGAGUAGCUAGGUGGUGUAGAUAAUAUCAGGC